AUUGAACGCUGGCGGCAGGCCUAACACAUGCAAGUCGAGCGAGUGGCGGACGGGUGAGUAAUGUAUGGGGACUGCCCGUUAGAGGGGGGUAACUCCUGGCAACGGUGGCUAAUUCCGCAUACUACCGUAUAACCCUUAUGGGAUUAGCGAGUGGGUGGGGUAAAGGCUCACCUCGGCGACGAUCUCCAGCUGGUCUGAGAGGUUGACCAGCCACACUGGGACUGAGACACGGCCCAGGCUCCUACGGAGGCAGCAGUGGGGAAUAUGGCACAAUGGGCGCAAGCCUGAUGCAGCCAUGCCGCGUGUAUGAAGAAGGCCUUAGGGUUGUAAAGUACUUUCAGCGGGGAGGCGUUACCCGCAGAGGAAGCACCGGCUAACUCCGUGCCAGCAGCCGCGGUAAUUC
rnacentral:rRNA from 1 species